GGGUGCCCGUGUUUUCGGAGUUGGAGUUGUACCUGGUAGGUUCAUUGAUAAUUUGUGUGAGAUUGAGGGCAUCAAGCUUGGAUUGUAGGAUGGCUGGGGUGUUAAGCAUGUCCCAGUUUAUGUCACCUAGUAGCACGAGCUCAGAAGAUAGAUGGGGGGCAAUCAAUUCACAUAUGGUGUCGAGGGCACAGCUGGGGGCAGAGGGAGGUCUAUUGCAAGCGGCAACAGUGAGAGACUUGUUUCUGGAAAGGUUAAUUUUUAGUAGAAGCUCGAAUUGUUUGGGUACAGAACUCUGCAGGCUUUCUUUGCAGUAGAUUGCAACACCGACCCCUUUGGCAGUUUUAUCUUGACGGAAAAUGCUAUAGUUAGCGAUGGAGAUUUCAAGGUUUUUGGUGGUUUUCCUAAGCCAGGAUUCAGACACGACUAAGACAUCCAGGUUGGCAGAGUGUGCUAAAGCAGUGAGUAAAUAAUAUAUGAACUGGCCGUCUAGCACGUUCGGAAGAGAGUAAAGGGAGCAGGUUUCUGGGCACGAUAGCAUAGAUUAAAGACAUAGUGUACAGACAAAGGUAAGGUAGGAUGUGAGUACAUUGGAGGUAAAUCUAGGCAUUGAGUAAUGAUGAGAGAGAUAUAGUCUCUAGAGAUGUUUAAACCAGGUGAUGUCAUCGUAUAUGUAGGAGGUGGAACAACAUGGUUGGUUAAGGCCUAUUGAGCAGGGCUAGAGGCUCUACAGUAAAAUAAGACCACAAUCACUAACCUGGACAGUAAUGGGCGAGGCAUAUUGAUAUUAGAGAGAGGCAUGCAUAGCCAAGUGAACAUAUGGGUCCAGUGAGUGGUUGGGCUGACUGGGAACAUGGCGAUUCAGACAGUUAGCAGGCCGAUGCUAACAGUUAGUAGGCCGGGGCUAAACAAGCUAGCAGUUAGCAGACCGGGUUAGCAAGCAAGCAGUUAGCAGGGGAUAGCAGUUAGUAGACCGGGGCUAGCAAGUUAGCCUUUGGGGGACGUCGCGGUGGGGGUAAGUCUGUUUUUGCCGAUACACCAGUGAUCUGAGAUCACUUGAAAAGUUGAAAAUCUGCCACAGAAGAGGCAUCAAGCUAACCACACUGCCAAAGACCUUGUCGAAACUAAGAUGUUUGAAAGAACUGGACUUCUCAGACAACGUAGGGUAGCAGAUUCCUGAGAGCAUCGGAUUCCUGAGAACAGUGGGGAUAAUACACAAGCAUUCCACAGUACAUUUCAUAUUCAAAUUGUAUUGUUGUGUACUGUAUGCUUAGCAAGUGAGGUAUUGUUGCAACUUUGUUAUUUUGCUAUAGAGCACAUCUUGCAAAAGGCUUUCCGGUCUCUGGCCAAUAACUUACAGGGCAAUGACGUAAGAUACACACUGAGGAGUUUAAGUCCAAAGAGAAUAAACGGUAUGACUUGAAUCAUCCUAUAAACCUCUAAUUUGGCAUAGAAUUUCAGUGAUAAUGUUCCUCAAUUUCAUUUCAGUGUCCAAUUACAAUCAAGGAAUUGAUAGGAAAUGGAAUCACUCAAUUUGAUUUGACACUCAAUUUGAUUACUUUGUGUGUGUAGGGCAUCCCAGAAGGAAAAAACCAUGCAGGCCCUGACUCUGUGGAUAGACUUAUUCCAUAGUGACCAGAAGGCAUCUGUCAUAGCUGACCAACUUGUGAGGACUCUGAUCUUGGUAGGCCUAUACACACUCUACUCUCAGGUCCAGGCCAUCAAGAUAUAUGCCAAAGCCAGGAGACAAUGAAUACACUAUGCCAAAUGUGCUAUAUGAAUAGAGGUACGCCUUCAUGACAGUUCAUGACAUUGUGAAGUUGGAAAGUGAGAGGAGUCAUUUGUUUUUCAUAAAUGUACAUUUACCAAGUGAAUCCAUACCAAAGUAUUGAUUAUUGUUUGACCAUGAGAAUAAAUGCAAUUGGAUAUGCAUCAA
ensembl:lncRNA